rnacentral:rRNA from 1 species
AUGAAGAACUAUUUCGUGGAGAAUCCCACAUACCCGGAGUCGUAUUUUCGUCGCCGGUUUAGGAUGAGCACCGAGUUGUUCAGGCGCAUUGCAGAGAAACUAGCGAGCCAUGACCGGUUUUUCCAGCAAAGGAGGAAUGCCGCCGGAGAGCUCGGGCAUAGCACUUUUUUGAAGGUGACAGCCGCUUUGCGUAUGUUGGCAUACGGUAUCCCGGCUGAUCUAGUUGAUGAUCAUUUGGCUAUGAGUGAGAGCCAAGCCAUCAUGUGUGUCAAGCGCUUUGCAGUGGGAAUUGUGCAAGUGUUUGGCGAGGAGUAUUUGAGAGCUCCCACUGCUGAAGACGCCGCAAGGCUAUUGGCGAUGAACAAAGCGCGCGGCUUUCCUGGCAUGCUUGGCUCAAUAGAUUGCAUGCAUUGGAGUUGGAAGAAUUGUCCAAAGGCAUGGCAUGGGCAAUUCCACGGCCAAAAAAAGGGUUCCACUAUAAUCCUUGAAGCGGUGGCCGAUCAGGAGACUUGGAUUUGGCAUGCAUUCUUUGGAAUGUCUGGAUCUUUGAAUGAUAUCAAUGUUCUCAAUGCUGGAAUUUUGUCCAUUUUGGGCCUAGCCCAGUAG